GCUGGGCACGGUGGCCUGUGCCUGUCGUCCCAGUGGCUCGGGAGGCUGAGGCAGGAGGAUCACGAGUUCAAAGCCAGCCUCAGCAACUUAGUGAGGCUCUAAACAACUCAGUGAGACCCUGUCUCUA
rnacentral:sRNA from 1 species